AUGUCCUUCGUGCAGCACGAGGUCCACGACGACAACGACCACAGUUUCGCCUGGGAAGCCGUGGAGAAGCGCAGCCAGAACGGCUCCUUCAUCGACGAGGUCAACGCCGCGCUCCUCAGCCGCCGGCGCUGCGGCGCUGGCACGGCGCCGCGCACCUUCCGCGUCAACUUCGGCUGCUAUGACUGGUGGGACGGGGCCAUGCUGAACCGGUGGCUCUACUACGUGCUCAACCGGAGCUCGCCCGAGCUCCACCUCGACCUGCGCCUCCAGCACACCGAGCUCCGAGAACACCACGUCAAGGAACCCUACAACGGCGAAGGCGACGGCGACUGCUACGAACCCGACGCCGACGUCCCGGCCGGUGACAGGUGUCCCUCGAGCCACUCCUACCAAUCCUACGGCCCAUCUACGUACACGCUUCCACCAAGGCUCUUCUCGUGCGUAGCCGUACGGACGCUCCGCCUCGGCGCCUGCACGUUGGAGCCGCCGAAGCUCAUCGAGCUACCGUUCCUUGAGACGUUGCACCUAAGCACCAUCGGGAGCACCGGCGACAACAUCCAACGCCUCAUCUCCGGUUGCCCGCGCCUCGUUGAUCUCACCCUGGAGAGGUGCGGCCACACAAACACAUAUUACAGAGACCCUCUUCCUGACAAAAAUUUCACCAUCACCGUCCUCGACAAGAGCCUCCGAAGACUCUCCCUACGGUGCUGCCACAACCUGGUCCGAGUCAGCAUCGACGCCUCGGAGCUGAUGACGUUCGAGUACAGGGGCGCCGUGCCGCCAGAGUCGCUCCUGGCCCUGCAUGGCACACACAAGAUCUCUUCGUGCACCAUCGGCUUCUGCGAUAGGAAAGUUUACAAGGGGCAGUUGCCCCUCUUCAGAGAGUUCCUCCAGCGGUUUACGAGCACAAGACAUCUGCAUCUGAUGUCUACACAUCUCGGCUCAGGCAUCGGCAAUGAGGUUUUCUCGGGAUUUCCCUACUUUCCAUGUCUCGUGCGGCUUGGGCUGACAGGAUACCUUGGAGGACGCAGCAUCAAGGCGGUGACUAGGUUACUCCAAGUUGCUCCGAGCAUUGAGAUUCUGUCUCUAUUCAUGAAACCGAGUCAUGAGGGGAGAUUCCGUGACGAGCUCAGCAAUGAGCCAGGUGCAAGUCUUGGAAGCACGGCUCUGGAUGUUUCGAUCACGUGCUUGCAGAAUCGGGUGAAGCGGAUCAACCUAGUGCACUACCAGGGCGACGAGGCACACAGAUAUGUAGCCAAGUUGUUGCUUUGUAAUGCGAUGGUUCUUGAACAAGUGUGUGUUGUCUUUCCAAGGGGAGCGCAUGAGUUGCAGAGUAGACUAAAGAAGGAAAUUGAAGGAUGGGUGGCGAAUAAAUCAGCAAAGACGAUUUUCUUGUAA
rnacentral:rRNA from 1 species